AAACAAAGUCACCUACAUCUUGGAUGCCCUGGGGAAAUGUUUGACAUUCCAGCACUGGAAGGAUCAGGGAAAGCUGUUACCCACCGCAAAGGUGCAGAAGGUCUUCCCAUUUCCAAGACCACCCACAUGAAAAGAUUUAUAUCAGUAUGCAUUGAAACCACAAGCAAUUGCAAUG